UUCCUGGUGGCUCAGACGGUAAAGAAUCUGCCUGUAAUGCAGGAGAUCCAGGUUUGAUCCCUGGGCUGGGAA
rnacentral:tRNA from 1 species